AGCUGAAAAGGAAGUUCUACUCUGAUGCUUCUUUAAAUAUAGACUGGGAGAUGGGUCUCAUAGAAAAAAAGUCUACUGAUAAGCUGAAAUGAAAACUUUGACUAAGGAAAACAGAUUGGUUUACUGAACAGAAUAUCUUCAAAUCAACUAGACCAAGCCUGUCAACACUGAGAAAAAGGGGAAGACGUAACUUAAGAAACAUAUGGGUUCCUUCUGAAGCCAACCAGUGUCAAAGAGAUCAGUGGUGCUUGUUACUGCCUUCACUAUUGUGAUAAACAUUAUCACACUAAAAUGUGUAAUAAUAAUGUAAUGAGGGCAAGGCCUUUGGUUUGCUUUGUUUACUGUUGUGCCUUUAGUAACCAACAAAAACAAAAGACACAGACAUAUAAGGAUUCAUCACACAUUCA
rnacentral:lncRNA from 1 species